GUGUCUAGACAUUUUGGUAACUUUUUCGAGGUUUUUCGGUAAUAAUUUCAAUUAAAUAUGAAGAAGUAAUUCGUAAUUCGGUUCUAAAAUGAAUACGUAUCGUUUCGUACUCUUUCUUCCGCGUUCGUAAGUCUGGUAGCAUCCUUCAAGUUCCGACUGAUCGCGAGCAGCUCUAGAUACUAUUUGAAAGUUCAAUAUGCUUCGAAGAACAUCCACGAAGAACUCCGGUGUGAAUUUUCCAACGUAAACAGUCUACGAAAAUGAGUUCGAGAUCGUAUUGAUCGUCGUCUGCGGAGAUGGAUUGUGUAAUUAUUCUGGAUUUGUUCCUGUGCGGUUAGAUUGCCCAGAAAGACGCAUCACAGCCAGCAGAUGUCUGAUGUAACAUUUUCCAACUUCGACAGAAGCAGCCAAUUCAUUUUGAUGUCCCCGAAGUCGGUCGGAGCUCGUCAUCGACAUGCGAUGCGGAAAUGAAAUCGAGAAUGAAUGCGCGGCAUGAAGCAGGAGGUGUUAUCUUCAACCAUAUUGAAGUUUCAUAUCAUACUACUCUUUUAUAGCGACGAUGACGCGAGUCUUUGCAUCGAGCAGGU